rnacentral:rRNA from 1 species
UACGUAGGGUGCGAGCGUUAAUCGGAAUUACUGGGCGUAAAGCGUGCGCAGGCGGUUCGUUGUGUCCGUCGUGAAAGCCCCGGGCUUAACCUGGGAACUGCGAUGGAAACUAGCGAGCUGGAGUGUGGCAGAGGGGGGUGGAAUUCCGCGUGUAGCAGUGAAAUGCGUAGAGAUGCGGAGGAACACCGAUGGCGAAGGCAGCCCCCUGGGCUAACACUGACGCUCAGGCACGAAAGCGUGGGAGCAAACAGG